AGAGUUUGAUCCUGGCUCAGGAUGAACGCUAGCGGCAGGCCUAACACAUGCAAGUCGAGGGAGGAGCUUUCGGGCUUCGACCGGCGUACGGGUGCGUAACGCGUAUACAAUCUGCCUUUCACAUAGGGAUAGCCCGAAGAAAUUUGGAUUAAUACCUAAUGGUAUAUAGGUGUGGCAUCACAUUUAUAUUAAAGCUGAGGCGGUGAAAGAUGAGUAUGCGUUCUAUUAGCUAGUUGGAGAGGUAACGGCUCCCCAAGGCGACGAUAGAUAGGGGUUCUGAGAGGGAUAUCCCCCACACUGGUACUGAGAUACGGACCAGACUCCUACGGGAGGCAGCAGUGAGGAAUAUUGGACAAUGGUCGGAAGACUGAUCCAGCCAUGCCGCGUGCAGGAAGACGGCCUUAUGGGUUGUAAACUGCUUUUGCAGGGGAAGAAUAAGGACUACGUGUAGUUUGAUGACGGUACUCUGCGAAUAAGCAUCGGCUAACUCCGUGCCAGCAGCCGCGGUAAUACGGAGGAUGCGAGCGUUAUCCGGAAUCAUUGGGUUUAAAGGGUCCGUAGGCGGGCUAAUAAGUCAGAGGUGAAAGCGCUCAGCUCAACUGAGCAACUGCCUUUGAAACUGUUAGUCUUGAAUGGUUGUGAAGUAGUUGGAAUGUGUAGUGUAGCGGUGAAAUGCUUAGAUAUUACACAGAACACCGAUAGCGAAGGCAUAUUACUAACAAUUAAUUGACGCUGAUGGACGAAAGCGUGGGGAGCGAACAGGAUUAGAUACCCUGGUAGUCCACGCU
rnacentral:rRNA from 1 species